UCUCCCCUCUCUCUCAUUCUCUCUCUUCUCUUUUCUUCGAGAAGCUCUCCUCUCUCUUCUGUGCUCCCACACUUGAAUCUUCAUUCUAAUUCCCUUGUCCUUGAACUCACCCAAACUAUCAAUCCCCAUCAUCCAAUGAAUUGUCCGUGAAGGGGAUCAAGGGGCGUCUCAAUCCUCUACCGUCGGCUUGCAUCGGUGACAUGGUAAUGGCCACCGUGAAGAAGGAAAAGCCGGAUCUGAGGAAGAAGGAUGGCCGCCACGAUGUACGCCAAGUUAAACUAGAUCAGAAGAAGCUCAACUAGAUCGACCUCAUCAGAAUCUAGUUUCAGUGACCCAGUUUUUUUAUGGGUUUAUGCCUAUCAACUCUAAUCAAGAUCCCCAAUUUCAUCAAUGUGAAAUUGGAAUUCGUAGUGGUUGCUAAAGGCCUAGCUUGUGGAACUCCUCAUAUGAUCAGUGCUACGAUUGAAGGCCUUGCUCGGUUGGCUGAUGAGUUUUCUGACCUUGUUUUCAACUGCUAGCAAUUUGCUACGAUUAAAGUUUGUUUCAUUUAUAAUUUCUUUUAGAUCUGAACAAUUGUUUAUUGGGUCAAAGUAGACAUUGAGUUUUCAAGUCAAAACCAAUCUCCAUGGCGCUGCUCUGAGUUAACUCGCUCUCUGUUUUUAUGUAUGCAAGGAUGGCCAUCACGAUGUACGCCAAGUUAAACUGGAAGAACCUAAACCAGAUCGACCUCAUCAGAAUCUGGAUAUGGUUUCAGUUUUUCAAUAAAGUAUGGAUCCACGCCUAUCACUUCUAAUCCAAAAUCUCAAAUUUCAUCACUUGAGUAGAGGCUGAAACCAUGGCAGUGACUGAAUCCAAGCCGAUCAUCAAUGAACCCAUUCAUCCCCAGAAAUAUGAAAUAAAAUGAAUAAGAUCAGGAUCUCAGCCAUCCAUCCCCAGGAAUACUCGAUAUUGGACCAGAAAUAAUUAAUAAAAAAAAAUUAUAAUAAUGAAUCGUACCCACCAUUGUUGUUGGUGGUCCCAGUAUGUCAGAGCUUCUUCAGAGAAGCCACACACCAAGUAAAUCGAGACUAUUAAGGGGAAAGCAACCCCUCUACAGAACACUGACC